CACAGGGAAACUUGUGCUAAUACCGGAUAAGCCCUUACGGGGAAAGAUUUAUCGCCGAAAGAUCGGCCCGCGUCUGAUUAUCUAGUUGGUGAGGUAAUGGCUCACCAAGGCGACGAUCAGUAGCUGGUCUGAGAGGAUGAUCAGCCACAUUGGGACUGAGACACGGCCCAAACUCCUACGGGAGGCAGCAGUGGGGAAUAUUGGACAAUGGGGGCAACCCUGAUCCAGCCAUGCCGCGUGAGUGAUGAAGGCCCUAGGGUUGUAAAGCUCUUUUGUGCGGGAAGAUAAUGACGGUACCGCAAGAAUAAGCCCCGGCUAACUUCGUGCCAGCAGCCGCGGUAAUACGAAGGGGGCUAGCGUUGCUCGGAAUCACUGGGCGUAAAGGGUGCGUA
rnacentral:rRNA from 1 species